UACGUAGGGGGCAAGCGUUGUCCGGAUUUAUUGGGCGUAAAGAGCGUGUAGGCGGCCAAGCAGGUCCGCUGUGAAAACUCGAGGCUCAACCUCGAGAGGUCGGUGGAAACCGUUUGGCUAGAGUCCGGAAGAGGAGAGUGGAAUUCCCGGUGUAGCGGUGGAAAUGCGGCAGAUAUCGGGAAGAACACCCGUGGCGAAGGCGGCUCUCUGGGACGGUACUGACGCUGAGACGCGAAAGCGUGGGGAGCGAAACAGGG
rnacentral:rRNA from 1 species